rnacentral:rRNA from 1 species
UACAGAGGCCUCGAGCGUUAGGCGGAAUCACUGGGCUUAAAGCGCGUGUAGGCGGAUUCUUAAGUGUCUUGUGAAAUCCCACGGCUCAACCGUGGAACUGCUGGGCAUACUGGGAAUCUUGGGCCACUCAGGGGCGACCGGAACAAGCGGUGGAGCGGUGAAAUGCGUAGAUAUCGCUUGGAACGCCAAAGGUGAAGACAGGUCGCUGGGGGUGUGCCGACGCUGAGACGCGAAAGCCAGGGGAGCAAACGGG